rnacentral:lncRNA from 1 species
GGAGUGUUCAGGAAAGUUGAUGAGGUUGAUGCAAGCUAGAGCUGUGCUAUAAGGAUUCAAGUGUAAGUCAUAGCUGGAAUAGUUGACAGUGAUUCUUCUUAUCGAAGAUGAUCUGAUUUGGUAAGAGAUGUUGUGUAAUAAUAGUGGUUGAUUCUAAUUUCAAUACUGUAACCUGGAUGCGAUCCUGUUGCUUUUAGGGGGUUGAAAUGUCUCUUUCGAAUCAUUUAUUAAAGUUUAAAUGUUCUCUUGAAAUUCUCUUAUUAUGGCUUUCAAGUUACAAAUUCAGGUUUUGAAAUCAUUUGAUUUAUGUUCUUUUUCAAAUAUUUUCCGGUUUUAAAUUCUUUUGAGUUUCAUUAUCUUUUAAAAUGAAAAAAAUACAGGGUUUCAAAAGUGUUUUAAAAGGGUUUUGUGU